GCCUGAAGAAAGAGAGUGAGGUUAUAUGUAGGAGAGGCUAUAAUGAUGGCGUGCAGAAAACAAGAAGAGAGGAGACAGAGAGACACAGAGAGCAGAAGUACAUCCUGAUGUCUUCAUCUCUCCGCCCUGCUGCAUAUGGAAAAACCUCACAAAGUCCAACUCACCAGCUAUUUAAGUCUCAAUCUGAGCUAUAAAAAGCCAGAAAAAUGCUGGAUUUCCCAGAGGACAGUUUUGACCCCA
rnacentral:lncRNA from 1 species